rnacentral:lncRNA from 1 species
UGCUUUCCCCUCCAGCCAGGACUCUUCACGACCUGAUGGCAGAGCUUGUUAGCAUAUAGGUGGUUUAACCGCUCCCAGCUGAGCCCUCAGCCCCAGACAACCACAGCCAUUGUCAUGGAUCAGAGAGAUCUCAGCCACAGACCUUGUGCUCCUGACUCAUGGGCUUCCCAGAGAGACCGCAGGUUGGCUGCCAACACCCUGAAGACAGCAAGGCUGCCCAGUCCCCCAACGCCUGCCAAGGACAGAUUCUACCUGCAACGUGGACCCAGAGAGUCAUUCUCGAACAAAGGAACCCCAGAGGCCUGAACUUACUCAGAAUUGACUUCUGCGUCCUUCUAUUAUUGGGACUGACAUUUGAAGUCCCCGGCCGGGUCUCCCUGUCAUUUGCCAUCGCCUUUGAAGUGCUUAACAGCCGAGAGGUUGAAGCCAUACAAUUUUGCUAUUUAGAGGAUUCAGCUUAAGGUAACGGUCAAGUUGCAUAAUUCAAGAUGAAAGGGUUUGGGGCUUCCCUGGCGGUACAGCAUUUAAGAAUCCACCUGCCAGUGAAGAGGAAAUGAUUUUGAUCCCUGGCCCGGGAAGAUUCCACCUACCACCCAGCAACUAAGCCAGUGCGGAACAACCACUGAUUCUGAUGCUGCAGCUACUGGAGCCUGCGUGCCUACAGUGUGGUCUGCAGCAAGAGAAGCCACCACAAGAGAAGCCCGUGCUCGGCAAUGAGGAGUACCCUCUGCUCACUGCAACUAGAGAGAGCCUGCCUGUAGCAGUGAAGACCCAGUGCAACCAAAAAGAAAUAAACAAGUUUUUAAAAAAGAAAAACCAAAGCCUUAUGUCAUGAGACUUUUUCUGUUUUCUUCACUCACCUCC